GGCCAUUGCUAUCGGAGUCCGAUUUAGCCAUGCUAGUUGUACGAGUUUAGACUCGUAGCAUAUAGCUCAGUAACACGUGGCCAAACUACCCUACAGACCGCGAUAACCUCGGGAAACUGAGGCCAAUAGCGGAUAUAACUCCCAUGCUGGAGUGCCGAGAGUUAGAAACGUUCCGGCGCUGUAGGAUGUGGCUGCGGCCGAUUAGGUAGAUGGUGGGGUAACGGCCCACCAUGCCGAUAAUCGGUACAGGUUGUGAGAGCAAGAGCCUGGAGACGGUAUCUGAGACAAGAUACCGGGCCCUACGGGGCGCAGCAGGCGCGAAACCUUUACACUGCACGACAGUGCGAUAGGGGGACUCCGAGUGUGAGGGCAUAUAGCCCUCGCUUUUCUGUACCGUAAGGUGGUACAGGAACAAGGACUGGGCAAGACCGGUGCCAGCCGCCGCGGUAAUACCGGCAGUCCAAGUGAUGGCCGAUAUUAUUGGGCCUAAAGCGUCCGUAGCUUGCUGUGUAAGUCCAUUGGGAAAUCGACCAGCUCAACUGGUCGGCGUCCGGUGGAAACUACACAGCUUGGGGCCGAGAGACUCAACGGGUACGUCCGGGGUAGGAGUGGAAUCCUGUAAUCCUGGACGGACCACCAAUGGGGAAACCACGUUGAGAGACCGGACCCGACAGUGAGGGACGAAAGCCAGGGUCUCGAACCGGAUUAGAUACCCGGGUAGUCCUGGCUGUAAACAAUGCUCGCUAGGUAUGUCACGCGCCAUGAGCACGUGAUGUGCCGUAGUGAAGACGAUAAGCGAGCCGCCUGGGAAGUACGUCCGCAAGGAUGAAACUUAAAGGAAUUGGCGGGGGAGCACCACAACCGGAGGAGCCUGCGGUUU
rnacentral:rRNA from 1 species